GCGGUAGAGAGAAGCUUGCUUCUCUUGAGAGCGGCGGACGGGUGAGUAAUGCCUAGGAAUCUGCCUGGUAGUGGGGGAUAACGUCCGGAAACGGACGCUAAUACCGCAUACGUCCUACGGGAGAAAGCAGGGGACCUUCGGGCCUUGCGCUAUCAGAUGAGCCUAGGUCGGAUUAGCUAGUUGGUGAGGUAAUGGCUCACCAAGGCGACGAUCCGUAACUGGUCUGAGAGGAUGAUCAGUCACACUGGAACUGAGACACGGUCCAGACUCCUACGGGAGGCAGCAGUGGGGAAUAUUGGACAAUGGGCGAAAGCCUGAUCCAGCCAUGCCGCGUGUGUGAAGAAGGUCUUCGGAUUGUAAAGCACUUUAAGUUGGGAGGAAGGGUACUUACCUAAUACGUGAGUAUUUUGACGUUACCGACAGAAUAAGCACCGGCUAACUCUGUGCCAGCAGCCGCGGUAAUACAGAGGGUGCAAGCGUUAAUCGGAAUUACUGGGCGUAAAGCGCGCGUAGGUGGUUCGUUAAGUUGGAUGUGAAAUCCCCGGGCUCAACCUGGGAACUGCAUCCAAAACUGGCGAGCUAGAGUAUGGUAGAGGGUGGUGGAAUUUCCUGUGUAGCGGUGAAAUGCGUAGAUAUAGGAAGGAACACCA
rnacentral:rRNA from 2 species